rnacentral:lncRNA from 1 species
CAAUUUUGACCAUUUUUUAGUGUACAAUUCAGUGGCAUUAGGUACAGUCACAUCGCUGUGCAACCAUCACCGCCAUCCAUCUCUAGAACUGUUUCAUCUUCCCAAAUGGAAAUUCUGUCUCUGUUAAACGCUCAUUCCCCUUUCCCCCUCCCCCAGGUCUUGGCAACCAGCUUUCUACUUUCUCUCUAUGAAUUCAGCAACUCCAGGUACCUCGUAUCAGCAGAAUCAUACGAUAUUUGAUUUUUUGUGUGUCUGGUUUAUGUCACUUGGCAUAGUGUCCUCAAGGUUCCUGACUGACACAGGAGCCUAAUUUCUGGCCAAUGUCCUUCUCCAGGGGAAGAUGGCCGCUAUCGGGUCUAGAGUAGACAAUGGAUGAAGAGAACUAGAAUGACUUAAGAUUGAUCCAGAUGGUGGGAGAUGCUCAAAGCUUUUGUGAGAACGAGAAGGAAAGCACAGGGAGGAGGAAUACUGUAACUGAAGCUGGUGCAUUCUGAAAACAAGAGUCACAAUGUGAGCAUAACACCAGCCCCGCCAAGUGCCCUCCUGAUUCAUGAGUAAAAUGCCCAACGAAGCCCAAGAGCUAUGAACGGAACCAUCAAUCAAAGAGACUUAAUGGUUUUCUUGGAAGCAGCUCAGCAUAGCGAAUGAUGUUGAGACACC